CUGAGGCAAACUCCAUCAGUGAUCCAUGGGCUUUCUGCUCUCUUAUACCCAGGAUCUACAAGGAGCCAAAAUUGGACAGUAGCAGCCAUGUGGGGCAGGCACCUCAAGAACAGACCAUCCUCAGAGAGAAGCACUCAAAACUCUGGGCCCAGCAUAUCUAAAAGACCGCUGAAAGCUCCAGGAUUAAAACCACGGUCAACGAUUCUGCUCUUCCAGCAAAAUGGAAUUUUCUACAACAGGAGUGGAACACACGAGCUUUAUCCUUCUUCGACCUGCCUUCUCUAGCUUUAACACAGAGCAGAGUGGACAGAUUUAAAAAAAAAAAAACAACCCACCUCACCCAGUGCACUCAAUGCCCCACUAACAACUACGUGGAUGAAACAAAACAAUCACUACGCUCUCAAAGGAACUCCCACAGAAAAACAAUAAAAGACAAAAACACCCUGUCACCCACGGGUGAACAGGUUUCACAAAGUGAUCACUCUGAACCUGACUUAUCAGACCUCAUCCUCAAAGGAAACCUGCACACACCAUCAAAAGAUGCUGGGUCUGGAUCACUGGAAAAUCAGAAUUCUCACUUCUCCAGUGGGAUACAAGAAGUCUAGACCUGAUGAUUGCAAGAUAUUGGGCUGAAAACUAUCCCACCACAUGCCUUGCAUCUCAAAAAGUAAUUUUCACUGCCUGCUUUUAUCUGAGUUGUAUUUGGGGGAAGAAAAAAUUAACUAUUUUUGGGUUAGAUCAUUAUCAUUUUUAUUAAAUGAUGGCUGUUUGAAAACUGCUCUGAAAUAUGGAGUAUUAGAUAUAGUUUCAGCAGAGAUGGAUUAGUAGACAAAGCAGGUGAGAGGCAAAAGGUUAAAAAUAAAUUAAAUGUAUUACAUAAAUGAAUGUAUGUUAGUUUAUCCCAUGAUUCCACAGCGUACUUAAGAGAUACAGAAAUAAAGGAAUUGUAUCUAUAUCAUGGGCACAUAUUUAGAUAAUAUAUGUGAUUAUGCUGCUCACAUAAUUUGUAUUUCCAAAACCAUUAUAAACCGUUAUACAAACUAACUUUAUACUAGACUUGGAGAUGUCACUGAGUACUGCCCGUGCCAGCUAUGUUAUUAUUUACAGAGUAAUAAAUUCAAAGGGGAAAAAUUAGAGGUGUAGGAGAAAAAAAGAGAAGUUGAACAAAAGAAGGGAGAUAAAUGAUGCAGAGUUCUAUCAAAUUUUGUUGCCACUUGUUUGGGAGGGUCAUUACUUGCACAUUUGUGGCUACCCCUUACACGAGUAAUGCAGGUAUCUCAAAUACAACUAAAAAUAUGAGCAGUGUAAAGUGUUAAACCUACCA